GACGAACGCUGGCGGCGUGCUUAACGCAUGCAAGUCGAACGGUAAGGCCCCUUCGGGGGUACACGAGUGGCGAACGGGUGAGUAACACGUGAGCAACCUGCCCUUGACUCUGGAAUAACAGUUGGAAACAGCUGCUAAUACUGGAUAUUCAUCGUCUCCUUCCUGGGGGGUGGUGGAAAGCUCCGGCGGUCAGGGAUGGGCUCGCGGCCUAUCAGCUUGUUGGUGAGGUAAUGGCUCACCAAGGCUUCGACGGGUAGCCGGCCUGAGAGGGCGACCGGCCACAAUGGGACUGAGAUACGGCCCAGACUCCUACGGGAGGCAGCAGUGGGGAAUAUUGCACAAUGGGCGCAAGCCUGAUGCAGCAACGCCGCGUGCGGGAUGACGGCCUUCGGGUUGUAAACCGCUUUCAGUAGGGACGAAGGGUGACUGACGGUACCUACAGAAGAAGGACCGGCUAACUACGUG
rnacentral:rRNA from 1 species